rnacentral:rRNA from 1 species
AUGAACGCUGGCGGCGUGCUUAACACAUGCAAGUCGAACGGAACUACUCCAAUGAGAGUCUUCGGAAAGGAUUUGGUUUAGUUUAGUGGCGGACGGGUGAGUAACGCGUGGGUAACCUGCCCUAUACAGGGGGAUAACAGUUGGAAACGACUGUUAAUACCGCAUAAGCGCACAGGAGCGCAUGCUCCGGUGUGAAAAACUCCGGUGGUAUAGGAUGGACUCGCGUCUGAUUAGCUGGUUGGCGGGGUAACGGCCCACCAAGGCGACGAUCAGUAGCCGGCCUGAGAGGGUGAACGGCCACAUUGGGACUGAGACACGGCCCAAACUCCUACGGGAGGCAGCAGUGGGGAAUAUUGCACAAUGGGGGAAACCCUGAUGCAGCGACGCCGCGUGAGCGAAGAAGUAUCUCGGUAUGUAAAGCUCUAUCAGCAGGGAAGAAAAUGACGGUACCUGACUAAGAAGCCCCGGCUAACUACGUG